rnacentral:rRNA from 1 species
GACGAACGCUGGCGGCGUGCUUAACACAUGCAAGUCGAACGAGAAGAGAUGAGAAGCUUGCUUCUUAUCGAUUCGAGUGGCAAACGGGUGAGUAACGCGUAAGCAACCUGCCCUUCAGAUGGGGACAACAGCUGGAAACGGCUGCUAAUACCGAAUACGUUCUUUUGUCGCAUGGCAGAGGGAAGAAAGGGAGGCUCUUCGGAGCUUUCGCUGAAGGAGGGGCUUGCGUCUGAUUAGCUAGUUGGAGGGGUUAACGGCCCGACCAAGGCGACGAUCAGUAGCCGGUCUGAGAGGAUGAACGGCCACAUUGGGACUGAGACACGGCCCAGACUCCUACGGGAGGCAGCAGUGGGGAA